GGAGAGAUGGCUGAGUGGUCGAAAGCGGCAGAUUGCUAAUCUGUUGAGUGAAAUUAUUCGCUCCGAGGGUUCGAAUCCCUCUCUCUCCGCCA
rnacentral:tRNA from 1 species